UUUUCUUUUCCUCGAUUGUGAUAACGGUUGAUAUAUUUCUCAAAAAAGGAAAAACAAGUAUUCACAAGCAUCUGGUUAGCUAUAUAUAUGGUAUGUCUCAUUUACGUCUCAACUCGCAUAUAAUGUUUUAGCAAUGCUUUGAAAGUAACCGAAUUUGCGUCGUCUUCUUUUCUUACUCUGGUUUCCUAAAACAGUCAGCAUGAUUUGCAUAGAAGGAGAAUAGAGACGAGUCAGCAAUUCAAUUUUUUUCUUUAUUUAAUGUUAUUUCUAUAGCGCUUUUAACAAUACUGUCCCAAAGCAUCUGCACAGAGAUAAAUAGAUGACAAAUAUACUUUUUAAAUGUCAAAAUUUGUCCUCAUGCAGUACAUUCAUCUCUAAUGAGCGAGCCGCUGGUGAGGAACAACUCCAUGAAAUGAUAUGAGGAAGAAACCUUGACUCAAAAAGGAACCCAUCUUCAUCCUCAACUCAAUCUUUCCACAAAAGUGGGGUUUAUAGUUUUUUUGAGACCCCUGCAUGUUGCUUCUAUGCAACAAACUCGGUCAUGUCAAAUGAUAUUUACUUUGACCAAACAAAUGUAUAAAUGUCCAGAUGUUCCACUUUAUUUUCAUUGAAAUAUACAUUUUAGCAUGAAUAGGACAUUUUUUGGAAAUCAAUUUCUUGCAAUCCAGUUCAUUCCAGCACAGUUCAAUAGGAUUUAGGUGCAGUGACUGGGCGGAUGACACUCCAGACGACCAGGUCCACUCCAGAUGACCAGGUUUAGGUCUUGUCAUAUCAACCUUCAUUCUUCUUGGAAAAUGUUCCACAACUGACCAAACCAGGCACUUGAGUUUUUAAGAGGACACAAAGGACAUACGGGUGCACCAUAGGAGUCGGGCUAAGCAUAAAAUUCUCCUGACCUGUAGCAGCGAUCUGUGAGAGGGGUGAUGACCAGACGUGGAGUGUUCCCCAGGUCCUGUUGCUAUGGCUUCAUGGAUGUCUUUGGUCCAGUACACCUGAGAGACGCACAAUACCGUCUGACCUGGCCAGGCUCGCACCCAGUUCACCCGCAACUCUUUAGGGUACGCCUCGAUCGCUUCGGCAAUCACCUGUAAACAGUGAGCUUUUUCUUUUUCUCCAAACCAAACUGGAUUUGGACCCCUGUACCUGGUUGGAUCCUUGGUCUCUGAGAGAAUCUCCAGCAGCUCAUCGUUGGACAGAAAGAAGAAGCGUGGGAAGAAGAGUCUCUUCUUUUCCAGGAAAUCCUGGAACUGUACGGUCUUCUCCUCGGCGAUCUCUCUAUGCCUGUCAAACACGGAAGGCAUGCGCAUGUGCCACUGGAACGUCUUCUUGUUAAGGCUUAUGUCCACUGCAGAGAACUCAUAACCAGCCAAG